GGGACAGGGGGGUCUUCGCCGCACCGGCGGAGCCUGUCCUCCUGGUUGCGCGAACGCGUGACCCAGUGGUUGUCGCUCGGGGGUGAACGCCG
rfam:Streptomyces roseus strain ATCC 31245 contig_8, whole genome shotgun sequence.